AGGAAGGUGUCCUUGGUUUCAACCUG
rnacentral:piRNA from 1 species